AAUGAACGCUGGCGGCGUGCUUAACACAUGCAAGUCGAACGAUGAAGAACCUAGCUUGCUAGGGUUGGAUUAGUGGCGCACGGGUGAGUAAUAUAUAGAUAACGUGCCUCUUAGUCUGGGAUAGCCAUUGGAAACGAUGAUUAAUUCUAGAUACUCCUUCUUAUCAAAUGGUAAGAUGGGAAAGUUUUUUCGCUAAGAGAUCGGUCUAUAUCGCAUCAGUUAGUUGGUGGGGUAACGGCCUACCAAGACAAUGACGCGUAGCGGGUUUGAGAGGAUGAUCCGCCACACUGGUACUGAGACACGGACCAGACUCCUACGGGAGGCAGCAGUGAGGAAUAUUGCACAAUGGGGGAAACCCUGAUGCAGCAACGCCGCGUGGAGGAUGACGCAUUUCGGUGUGUAAACUCCUUUUAUAUGUCAAGAAAAUGACGGUAGCAUAUGAAUAAGCACCGGCUAACUCCGU
rnacentral:rRNA from 1 species